rnacentral:rRNA from 1 species
GAUGAACGCUGGCGGCGUGCCUAACACAUGCAAGUCGAACGGAAUUUACAUGAAGCCUAGUCGAUUGUAAAUUUAGUGGCGGACGGGUGAGUAACGCGUGGGUAACCUGCCUUGUACUGGGGGACAACAGUUGGAAACGACUGCUAAUACCGCAUAAGCGCACAGCUUCGCAUGAAGCAGUGUGAAAAACUCCGGUGGUGUGAGAUGGACCCGCGUUGGAUUAGCCAGUUGGCAGGGUAACGGCCUACCAAAGCGACGAUCCAUAGCCGGCCUGAGAGGGUGAACGGCCACAUUGGGACUGAGACACGGCCCAG